CUGAAUAUCCACACGGUAAAGAGACUUUAUUUUCCUAGCAGCCUUUGGGGAUCUAAUUAAUUUGCACGGAAGACUAGUUUCCUUUGAUUGAGGUUUGAUUAUACCCAUAUCAAUCAUCGAUAAAAGAUUAUGCCAUAUUCGGUGUGUCCACCAUAUUAAUAAAGGUAAGAUAUGCAAUUUUUUCACAUACAUAUAUAAUUACUUAAUCAUAUUUCAUUGAUUAGAGGCGGGUUCAUAAUUUGAAAUAUAUGUGUUCUGAAUUUGAACUUUAUUAUACGUACGAAUUCAAUAUAUUUCUCAACAAAUAUAGAGUUUGAAUUCAAAUUAUUGAAUUUUGCCGAACCCGUAUUGCUCAUGCUAAUUCCGUCGGUAUCAUUGUUAUGCAAUCGCACUCUAAAUUUUACUAGCCAGUAAAGUCACAUUGCUUGAUUUUGUGUGAACAGUGAACACUGAUUAUUUUCCAAUAAGUAUUACGGAUAAAUUAUCCAAAUGAAAAGGAAGUUCCUCAUGAGUUUCUCAGAACUUUCUUCUCAUUAAUGUAGCUACUAGGAAAGCUUCAACACCCUGUUCGACUUUCAAAAUAUCUUGUGAAUUGUUAAAGACUCUACAAUUACGUAUCUCAGAUAAGAAUUAAGAGUAAUACCUAAAAAAAUUCCAAUUGCCAAUUAAGUUGUCUUCAGCCUUAAGGAAUUCCCCUCACUUGUUUUUUUCAUAGUCUCAUACUAUAUCAGCUUCAUAUGUUGUGUAAUUGCAUUUUAUGUUUUAUUCUCAUCGAACUCAAAUUCAGAUCAUACGUGAUCUUAUUAUGCGGUCAUAGAUGCACUCCUAUUUAUGAUGUCUCUGUCUAUUUUCAUUUCAUCCGCAUAUGCUUUUCUUCUCCGUCCAUCCUUAAAAAACAGGCCACCUCCAGCUGUGGACGACGGGCUAGCCCACUAUUUUACGACUUUGGCACAACUCCGUCCUCGGCGAAUAUAUAUUUUCUUCUCGAGAAUAGCUAAUUCUCCGUUCAUCAAGAUCAUACUGACAAGUCAUUUUAUUGGAAUAUAUUUCAGUUAUACCUUAUUUUGGUAUGUUCACUCGACAGCAAGUUGCAGUACUUCCACAGACGCUGCCGGUCUCACCACCAUCGCCGUCUUCUACAAUCGCUCCGAUACUUCCACAGACAUUGCCGUUAUCACCACCAUCGUUGUCUUCCACUAACAUUGUUGUUGUCGCUCCAAUUCUUCAACGGUCGUUGUCAUCACCACCAUGAUGUCUUCCACAGGCGAAUGUUGCUCUCCACCUCUGAGUCCCUUGAACAAACUAUUACUCCCUCCAUCCCAUUUUAAGUGUCUUAAAAAGGCGUUUCGUCAUGCGAUAUGAAAUCAUAAUUUCAUAUUUUGAUUUCAAAUUAAUGUUUGUUUAUGUAGUUUGCACAAAAUUUCAACUUCAACUUCUAUUUCAAAUCCUAAAUUUUCCAAAAAAAAAUGCCCCAUUUGGGAUGCCUAUUACCGGUGGCUAACAACCAUAAGAAAGAUGAAAACAGGGAGAUCUAAGCCCACCGAUGAAGCCCUCAGAUAAGAAAAUAGGGAGAGCAGCUUAAGCCCACCGAUGCCUCUUCCGCCGGUGACUAACAACGAUGACAUGAAGAACGUGCUGGCGGUGUGGCUCAAUUCUGUCCUUCUUCUCCAAAAUAAAAUUUCUUCACCAACUCCACCAUCUUAAUCAGUGCUACCAUUUGAAUCUUUCACCAUGACCAAAUUUCGAUUAGAUUUUUAUAUAUCAUUUCUUUAUGUUUUCUUAGAUUUUGAAUAGUGAUUUUUCCCAUUCUUGUUCGUGGAUGGUAUUGUGAACCAGUAAGAUUCCUGCUUCCUCUAAAUUCUUUGUCUUUAGAGAAGAGUCAAAUUUGGGUCCUUGAAUUAGACGGAAAAAUUAUUUUUAUAGCGAAACUUCAUAUUUUCCGACGAAAUCCUGGCUAAUUGAUGGUUUUUCCGAUGAUGACAUAUAAUGGAUUGGUGAGGGAAAAUUGAGUUAAAAUUUGUACUACUAACCCUCUGUUUGGAUGGUUUCCCGUGGUUCAUUAAUGUACAGUAUAGUAUGGUAAAGUAUGAUGUUAUAUUGUAUUGUACUGUAUUAAUGAACACAGUAUUUGGAUA